AUCCGUGCUGCGUGCUCAUCUGUUGCCGGUCCGUAUAUUCUCCAUUACAUACAACCCCUCGAAUCGUAAAGGAAUCAUACCUUUUGGCGCUCACUCACCUGUUGGAUUUCUUAUGACCCCCUAACAGGAGAUCCAAAGAAAUGGCAGAACCUCGAGCGCUCAUCACUUUUCUGACGCCAACAAUUUUUCUCCUGACAAUAAGGACAAUCUCAGCUGCACCAUGCGGUGGUUACUUCACCAGUUUGAAAGGUUAUAUAUACACCCCGAACUUCCCUAAACCAUAUAAAGUGCCGAUACAAUGUCAGUGGGUGUUUGAUGCUCCUGCUGGCUACAAGGUGGCCGUCUAUUUCACACAGUUCUACAUGAAACGAGGGCUGGUGGCUGCUGACUACACCUACUACUCACAACAUCUCCAGACAGGUGUUGGGAAGUUCGAAUUCGGCACCAUCAGUUCGGACGAUGAGCCUACUUACUUGGUCAGCAACCAGCAGAUCCUCGUCUUAACUAUGAACGUUCGGUCGCUGGACAACAUUCACCUAAGAGUCAGGGAGCACAUUCUGGACGUCUCUGGGUUCAACAUCACAUACGAGAUGAUCUUGAAGAACGAGACUGUGAGAAACGACGCCUGCAUUUACCACCACUGUUCGUUCACCGGUUAUUGCUACGCCUCCGCAGAUUUCAACAAGUACGCGUGCAAAUGCUUCAAUGGAUACUUUGGGGAGGAAUGCCAGUAUGAUGACGCUUGUGGUCCCAACUCUACGUCAGAAGUGUGCCAGAAUGGUGGAACAUGCAGAUAUUACAUCGGAUCUUCCGUGCGGACGUGCGAAUGCUUGCCGGGAUACGUGGGAGCUAAAUGCGAAGGAUCCCUGCCUUCCGGAAAUGACGAAGAACCAAAUGAAACGGAUACCAACUGCCAGCGCUCCUACUACUCAUCUCCUCAGGGAUACAUCUCUGUUUAUCCUAAAAGAAGAAAAUGUCUUCAGGAAGGUGCUUUGCAGAUCCUCAGUCUGGAAAUCUCGGAGGCCAUGCCAGUCAACGAGGGCGUACCUUUGCUUGUUGCAUGCAUCGUCCAGAGUAGCGACGACACGAAAGUCACAUGGCUAAAGGAUGGUUUUCCGAUAGCCAUCCAGAAAUCUGCAGGACGGAUCUGGACCAUGCAGGUGCCAAAGGACUCAUCUGGGUGGUCAUCCUUUCUGCUUGGCUUCGAUAAAGUCAAUGAGCACGACACAGGAACCAUUACUUGCAAUGCAUAUGACGAUAGACAGAGUGAAGCGCUUUCUGUCUCUGUGACUGUCCGGCUGCGGUCGAAGCUCCUGAUAGAACCCCUCGCUGCUACACUCGCAGAGGGCAACUCCACCAGCAUUACUUGUGUCUCGAAGGAAGGCAUCUACGGAUCGUCAGGCUACAGGUGGCUCAAGAACGGCGGAGACCUGGACAGGAAAAGGGACGACGAGAGGGUGGAGGAUCUCUAUCCCGGAGGCACGCGGCUCAUUCUCAGGAAAGCGAAAGUUGCUGCAAAUUAUACAUGCGUUAUGCGAACAGUGAUCGGAUUCCUCCGCCAGACCAGCUGUAUCACAGUAGUGAAUGGAUCAGACUUCAACAAGCGCACCUGUCACCCAGAACGAAGAUACGGAAUCAGAUGGAAAGCCACUGCAGCUAACGCAUUCGACAUACAACAGUGUCCUGUUGGAUAUACAGGCUAUAUAAAGCGUCGGUGCAAAGUCAGAUUUAAUGGGAAAAUUGAAUGGAAUGAACCGGAUUUUUCCACAUGCUACUCCCCUCCCAUACUUGCCAUCAAAAAGGAGAUGGACAGUUGGCAGAUGGGCUACCGGAAGAAGACUGUGAACGCAGUGUUGGACGAGCUCUACGACUUCCUGUCCACCAGAUUAUCCAGCUUGCAUCCGUCAGAGGGAGAGCCGAUCGUUGACAUGAUGUUCGACACCGAUAUUCUAUCCAAUUCUCAAACUGACUUCGAGAGCACCUGGAAUCUAUUCCUGAACAGUGCAUCUCUCUUGCUUCAUUCAAAUCUUGUUUACAAACGACAACAAAAACUUAAGCUCCAACAACUUAUAAGGAGAAUAUCUGUGGCUUACGGAGGAAUGCGGGAUUUUCAAACGGCGUUAUUUUUCCAAACUGCUUGUUUAAGGGUGGAUAUCUUCAAAGCUACCGCAGCCACGCCGACUUCCCUGCAACUUCCGUGGUGCUCCAGUAAUGAGGCGCAUUGCAGAAACCUCUCUUUCAGUCUGGUGUUGAAUUCCGCGGAUGACUCAAAGGAGUCCGGUAAUGCGACGUUUAAGGUUAUUACAGUCGUGUACAAAUGUUUACACAUUGGUGAUCUGGAGGAAACCUAUUCCAGGAGAAGGAAUUCAAUUAACCACUUCCCUACGUUCAGCGUAGACGCGAACACCAUCGGUCGCCGCGACGCAGUGCCGGAGAUUGAAACAGUUCUGAAACCGUACUCCGUAUUAUCACUUGAAACUGAUUUUAAAGCUGAAUGCGUGCAAGUCCAUGUACAAAACAAAAGCAUUUCCAUUUUCCCCUGUGAGUUAAUGACAUCAAAAGAAAAUUGCAUCUUUUGUCGAUGUAGAGGAAGUGGUAUAUUUUCCGUGAUAGCGAGCAAUCAACCUACCUCGAAAUCUGUGAGAACAGAGUACUUCCAUUCCAAGGUGUGUUUCAUCACUGGCUUCAUCAUCACGUUAUUUAUCAUCUUGCAAAACAUUUGGAGAAUAUCGUGGAGAAUAAAGAUGAAAAUCUUUCUCCUCACAUAGACGUGGGUCCGUGUCCCCGCAUGCGUUUACCAUUUUUAAGAUGAAGAUAACUGUGAUAAAAAAAUAUUUCAGAGAGCGCACUCUUGUGAUGUUUUGCAGAAGACAACCAGUUGAAUGGCAGACCUGCACCCUGAGGUCGACUUUUUCCCCAUGCUCAACCCUUGCACUAACUCCGAAUGCUUUCGGCUAGAAACCCUGGAAUCCCUCCGCAAUAUUGUUCUUUAACCUAAUUUUCUAUGUGUGUCUGUAGUAAUAAGUGUUUGUGAAUUUUGUAGGGUAGUUGUGUUUGUGAAGAUUAAAAAUAGUGCAUUUAAAACCGGGCAGUUCCUUAUAAAAUCACAACACACCACUAUUUGCUAAUUUUUUUAUAUUUUCUCUAUACAUUAUCCAUUUCAUAAAUUCUCUCUUUCCCAGAGACCCAUUAAUAUUUCUAAAGAAAAAAAAAGUAUUUUAGACGAAACCCUCUGGCUUAGCAUGAGAAUAAUAAUAUCUAUGUAGACUGAACCGCUAAUGCUUUUGUAAAAAAGAACUAUAAUAAUAUAAACAUCUGAGGAAAGAUCAUUGAAAAUGUUCUGGGAGAGUAGAAUUCCAGUUAUGAGAUCGCAACGAUUAGGAUGGAACGAUUAGGAAGAGGAAAACGUGAAUAAAAUGAGGAAAUUAAAUAAAAAGAAUGUCAGAAAAACUGAGCUGUAAUUCAUUUCAUUCUCCGUUUAGCCAACAGAAAACUAACGACUCUAAACUUUACAUAAAAUUGAAACUGUCAGUUGAAAUUAUCUAUGAAAGAUUACUACCUAAGUAUGCAGUAAAAUUACAUAUCUCAAAUAAUAAUAAAACAAAAGUGGCUCACUCUGUGUAUUAGUGCUCUUCAAGCCAAUACGAGAAAAUUUGGCCUAUAUAUAUAUAUAUAUCGUGAAGAAUAAGUAUAUGCAUUGAAGAGAUUUUCUUAUUUAAAAAUUUAAAAUUUUUUAAUUCAUUAAAAAUUGAGCUGUAUUUUGAAGCUUCUCCACUAUAACUUCCGAAACUUUUAUGACAAAAUUAAUUUUUACAUAAUCUUAAAAAUUUUUUUAAAAAGUAUAUAUUUUCAAUAAUAUUUAUUAUUUUGCCUUAUAUUUAUUUUCUAUUUUACAUAAAUUCUUGAAAAAUAUUUUCACGACAUUUCCUAACAGUUGAUUUUCCAUCUGUAUCUUUACUCGGAGUAAAGAUGAGUGUUUUGACAUUCCAUAGGCUGGACGGUUUGCCCUAGAGCUACUAAACUUGGUGCAUUUAAAUUUCGAAGAGAGAAAAUGUGCAUCUCGGAGCAAUGUUUUAAAAUUCUUAUAAAAUUAAAAAAUUAUUAAAAUUCCAAUUAAAAAAUAAUAUUUAAAAAUUU